rnacentral:misc_RNA from 1 species
UUUCCGUAGGUGAACCUGCGGAAGGAUCAUUAUCGUAAAACCGAGGUGCGAGGGCUGUCGCUGACCUUUUCGGUCGUGCACGCCCGAGCGCUCUCACACAAUCCAUCUCACCCCUUGUGCCCCACCGCGUGGGUCCCUUUCUGGCUCGUCCGGAGGGGGGCUCGCGUUUUCACACAAACUUGAAGUAGUGUAGAAUGUCCUUUUUUUGCGAUAACACGCAAUCAAUACAACUUUCAACAACGGAUCUCUUGGCUCUC